rnacentral:snoRNA from 1 species
AGCAGUGCCGCUAUGCGUCCCCACAGUCAAUGUGGUGCGAUGGUACGAAGCACGUGCAAGAC